GCCUUGGUAGAUCAAUUGGCAGAUCAUCCCAACGCAGUGGGCUCGUUCAGAAUAUACGGGAAGGCGGAGGUUCGAACUCUCCCCAGGGCA